GACGAACGCUGGCGGCGUGCUUAACACAUGCAAGUCGAACGAUGAAGCUGGAGCUUGCUCCAGUGGAUUAGUGGCGAACGGGUGAGUAACACGUGAGCAAUCUGCCCUUGACUCUGGGAUAACUGCGGGAAACUGUAGCUAAUACCGGAUAUGACACCUUGGGGCAUCCCGAGGUGUGGAAAGAAUUUCGGUCAAGGAUGAGCUCGCGGCCUAUCAGCUUGUUGGUGAGGUAACGGCUCACCAAGGCGAC
rnacentral:rRNA from 1 species